rnacentral:lncRNA from 1 species
UCCUCAGAUGAUCACACCCACUUUGCUUCACUUUCAUGUCCAGAGCUGCUUAGACUGAUUUCUGCAACGUGCACAGGCAUUUUCAUGCUGAGGAUAAAGGACCAUGAUCGCUUGUCUGGACCCAGAAAAUAUUUCCCAUUUGCUACAUAGAUGCUGUCCCAUCCUUCCAGAGUUCAAGACUUCAGCAGAAAAAGAAUCACCUCAUUAAAGGAAAAUUGUGCCUUAUCCCCACUACUCGAAGAUGCAACCAUCUCCCUGGUCACAGCCACUUUUUUCCUUUUUUUCUCACUCCAUUGUAUGUGUGUGUGGUGCGGCAGGGGAUAAGGGGAAUAAUCUCUCUCCAGUAUAAGAAGAAUAAUUUUCAUCUUAGCAAUAUUGAGUAUUCCAGUACAUGAAUAUUGUAUGUUUCUCAAUUCACUUAGAUCCUUAAUUUCCCUUAGUCAUGUUUUGUGAUUUUCAGUAUACAAAUAUUGUACUCUGUACUAAACCAUUCUUGCAUUGCUGUAAA